GACGAACGCUGGCGGCGUGCUUAACACAUGCAAGUCGAACGGAAAGGCCCUGCUUUUGUGGGGUGCUCGAGUGGCGAACGGGUGAGUAACACGUGAGUAACCUGCCCUUGACUUUGGGAUAAAUUCAGGAAACUGGGGCUAAUACCGGAUAGGAGCUCCUGCUGCAAGGUGGGGGUUGGAAAGUUUCGGCGGUUGGGGAUGGACUCGCGGCUUAUCAGCUUGUUGGUGGGGUAGUGGCUUACCAAGGCUUUGACGGGUAGCCGGCCUGAGAGGGUGACCGGCCACAUUGGGACUGAGAUACGGCCCAGACUCCUACGGGAGGCAGCAGUGGGGAAUAUUGCACAAUGGGCGGAAGCCUGAUGCAGCAACGCCGCGUGCGGGAUGACGGCCUUCGGGUUGUAAACCGCUUUCGCCUGUGACGAAGCGUGAGUGACGGUAAUGGGUAAAGAAGCACCGGCUAACUACGUG
rnacentral:rRNA from 1 species